rnacentral:rRNA from 1 species
UACGGAGGGUGCAAGCGUUAUCCGGAUUCACUGGGUUUAAAGGGUGCGUAGGUGGGUUUGUAAGUCAGUGGUGGAAUCUCCAAGCUUAACUUGGAAACUGCCGUUGAUACUAUAAAUCUUGAAUGUUGUGGAGGUGAGCGGAAUAUGUCAUGUAGCGGUGAAAUGCUUAGAUAUGACAUAGAACACCAAUUGCGAAGGCAGCUCACUACACAAAGAUUGACACUGAGGCACGAAAGCGUGGGGAUCAAACAGG